UACGAAGGGGGCGAGCGUUGUUCGGAUUUACUGGGCGUAAAGGGCGCGCAGGCGGCUAUCCAAGUCAGGCGUGAAAGCCCCGGGCUUAACCUGGGAGGUGCGUCUGGGACUGGGUGGCUAGAGUUCGGGAGAGGAGAGUGGAAUUCCCAGUGUAGAGGUGAAAUUCGUAGAUAUUGGGAAGAACACCGGUGGCGAAGGCGGGUCUCUGGGCCGUAACUGACGCUGAGGAGCGAAAGCGUGGGGAGCGAACAGG
rnacentral:rRNA from 1 species